rnacentral:rRNA from 1 species
GACGAGUGGCGGACGGGUGAGUAAUGCUUGGGAACUUGCCUUCAGGAGGGGGAUAACAGUUGGAAACGACUGCUAAUACCGCAUAAUGUCUACGGACCAAAGCGGGCUUCGGCUCGCACCUGAAGAGAGGCCCAAGUGAGAUUAGCUAGUUGGUAAGGUAACGGCUUACCAAGGCGACGAUCUCUAGCUGUUCUGAGAGGAAGAUCAGCCACACUGGGACUGAGACACGGCCCAGACUCCUACGGGAGGCAGCAGUGGGGAAUAUUGCACAAUGGGGGAAACCCUGAUGCAGCCAUGCCGCGUGUGUGAAGAAGGCCUUCGGGUUGUAAAGCACUUUCAGUUGUGAGGAAAGGUUGGUAGUUAAUACCUGCCAGCUGUGACGUUAACAACAGAAGAAGCACCGGCUAACUCCGUGCCAGCAGCCGCGGUAAUACGGAGGGUGCGAGCGUUAAUCGGAAUUACUGGGCGUAAAGCGCACGCAGGCGGUUUGUUAAGCUAGAUGUGAAAGCCCCGGGCUCAACCUGGGAUGGUCAUUUAGAACUGGCAGACUAGAGUCUUGGAGAGGGGAGUGGAAUUCCAGGUGUAGCGGUGAAAUGCGUAGAUAUCUGGAGGAACAUCAGUGGCGAAGGCGGCUCCCUGGCCAAAGACUG